GAUGAACGCUGGCGGCGUGCCUAAUACAUGCAAGUCGAGCGAACAGACGAGGAGCUUGCUCCUUUGACGUUAGCGGCGGACGGGUGAGUAACACGUGGGUAACCUACCUAUAAGACUGGGAUAACUUCGGGAAACCGGAGCUAAUACCGGAUAAUAUUUCGAACCGCAUGGUUCGAUAGUGAAAGAUGGCUUUGCUAUCACUUAUAGAUGGACCUGCGCCGUAUUAGCUAGUUGGGAAGGUAACGGCUUACCAAGGCAACGAUACGUAGCCGACCUGAGAGGGUGAUAGGCCACACUGGAACGGAGACACGGUCCAGACUCCCAAGGGAGGCAGCAGAAGGGAAUCUGACGCAAUGGGCGAAAGCAUGACGGAGCAACGCCGCGUGAGUGAUGAAGGUCUUCGGAUCGUAAAACUCUGUUAUUAGGGAAGAACAAACGUGUAAGUAACUGUGCACGUCUUGACGGUACCUAAUCAGAAAGCCACGGCUAACUACGUG
rnacentral:rRNA from 1 species